GGAGUUCCGGCAGUACAUAAACUAAAAUUGGAACGAUACAGAGAAGAUUAGCAUGGCCCCUGAGCAAGGAUGACAAGCAAAUUCGAGAGAGACGGGGGAGAGAU